rnacentral:rRNA from 1 species
GAUGAACGCUGGCGGCGUGCCUAAUACAUGCAAGUCGAGCGAACAGACGAGGAGCUUGCUCCUCUGACGUUAGCGGCGGACGGGUGAGUAACACGUGGAUAACCUACCUAUAAGACUGGGAUAACUUCGGGAAACCGGAGCUAAUACCGGAUAAUAUAUUGAACCGCAUGGUUCAAUAGUGAAAGACGGUUUUGCUGUCACUAAUAGAUGGAUCCGCGCCGCAUUAGCUAGUUGGUAAGGUAACGGCUUACCAAGGCGACGAUGCGUAGCCGACCUGAGAGGGUGAUCGGCCACACUGGAACUGAGACACGGCCCAGACUCCUACGGGAGGCAGCAGUAGGGAAUCUUCCGCAAUGGGCGAAAGCCUGACGGAGCAACGCCGCGUGAGUGAUGAAGGUCUUCGGAUCGUAAAACUCUGUUAUUAGGGAAGAACAAAUGUGUAAGUAACUAUGCACGUCUUGACGGUACCUAAUCAGAAAGCCACGGCUAACUACGUG